GUCCGCGGGGGCGGGUCUGGUUACGUCACUUCCGGCGCGCCCGCGGGUGCCCGCAGCGGGCAGGUCUCCAAGACAAGACUUGGCAAUUCCCAGGAUAAAGGAGUAUGGCUGUGCACGCUCAUACACACUGUGGCUUGAGUUUAGACGUAGAGAACAAAAUUGGCAAGAAUCAAUUCUCUUCGUAUGAGGAAGGGUAUGGGGAAGCAAAGGUCUCCAGACUUGACAGUCAGUGUCUUUGUGUGCUCAGCUUCUCACUGGCAAAGAAAUCUUUAUUUCCUCAUCUGGGUUUCAUGAAGAACUGUGCUGUGAGAAGCCUUUACUGAACUACUGACUUGUGCUUAAGGACCCUUCUGGCUCGUCUGCCCUGCUGCUGCUGUGUCUAUGUAGUUCUGUAUUUUCAGCUGGAGCCCUCUCCAUGAGUAGCCUUGGUGAAGCUAUUCAGUCUUCCUGAUAGAAGUAUGAACAACCUUGGGCUCUUUCCUCAGUGUUCAAGACAAUAUAUUAAGUUAAUAUUUUCCCCAAAGGUUGAAAGAACAAGAUGCAAAUCCAUAAAUUUUGAGAGGGACUAACCCCAAGGGUCAGAGAGGCCUAGGAAUGCAACAUUUGCUUUCUGUAACAGCACUUUAUAAACAGCAGAAGAAAUUGUUAAACUGAAUGAGAUAACCCAUGGCUCCCAGAGCUGGCUCGUGUCAUUGGGUGUCUGUGCUAGGAGUCCAUGAGAGCCGUGGACUAGCACCAUUCCCAGUGGGACUGUCUGGGCUGUGGCUGCAGAUGCAGCUUGGCAGGGAGAGCCCUGCCCCACCACACCCCUGCUACUACCACCACCACCACCCAAAAAGAAGUUUACUUGCUUCAGAGCUGAGAGGCUCUGAGAGAACAGGGACUCAGGCAAGUGCAUGUGACAGCCAGGUCUGGAGUACUCUGCAGAGGAACGGCCCUCCAAGUCUCAGGUCACAGGAGUAGCUUCUAGGAGUCCUGCUUCCUCCUGAAACUAUCCUUUCAGACAUUUGCUUCUGCAGGUUCCUAACCAAUGUAGCAAGAUAUACA
ensembl:processed_transcript